GCGGCGCUGGGGAGGUGGGGAUGUGGAAUAAAGAAAGCUCUUGGGUGCGAGCCAUGAGAGCGCAAGUGUGCCUAGGCGCAGCGCGGAUGUGGGAGCCUGGACACCUGGAUUUUCUGAUCCGGGCUCUGUGACCUUGGUCUUCUGAAAAAGCUCUAGCACAGAGGCCGUCAGUGCCCCCUUGGAAGUCUUGUGAGUGAAGCAUACAAAGAAUGUUGGCUAUGGGACCAGACUCCACCCUAUCUGGAACCUCAGGGCAAGAAGAGACCUGAGAGGACACAGCAAUACAGUGAGCAGUUCAGGAUAAACCUGAUUUACAGUUCCUGUGAUGUUCCCUAAAGGUUGAAGCUUAAGGUUGAAGUUCCCUGGAGAAAUACUCAUUCAAAAGCCUCUUCCUUUUUCCUCUCAAAGAUGAUGGAUGAAAGCCAGGACAUCUGGAGGGCCUUUUGAGCUAAUAGCCACUGCUGGCUCCACAUUCUCUAAACUCAUUUCAUAAUAGAGCUCUAGCAAGGUCAUUUGGGGCGGUUCCAAAACUUAAGAGGAUACAUCCAGGCCUUCCUUCUAGUCACCUCUUAGCCGCAUUGUUCAGUGGGAUCACCAAAGCUCUGUGGGCUCCGAGGUCCUUGAAGAUCUUGCUAAAGCCACAGCAUUGUUAUCACCGGGGAAGUUCUAAAGCCCCAGGCAACCUGGGCCAUGGCCUUUGUCUUUCCAGUCUCUUCGGGAAUUAGUGAGUAACUCGGCCCAUCUGGGGAUUCUGCCCAUAGAAAUUCCCCAUGGAGGGAGAGGCAAUUAACAAAAGGAAAACAUCUAAAAAUAUCCCUUCAUGCCGCACACGCAGAGGCAGAGAGCUUUCCCAUAGAGCUCUCCUGCUCUGGAACCCAAUGCUGAGAGCUGUUUCUUUACUUUGAGGGAAAUGCUAUUCCUUGAAAUGUAGUAACGGUUUAGCAUAAGCCUUAAGGAACUUGAGCAGAGUGAGCAGGUCCAUGUGUGAUUUUAGAAGGCACCUGACCUCUGGAGCACCAAUUUCCUUAUUUAUGAGACUCUCUCCCUUCCAAGCAAGGCUGUUGCAAGGAUUCAGUGAGGGGAAAUGUGACAGUGCUUUAGAUAUUCUAUCAUCUUUGCAAGAAGAGGCUCUAUCACCCCUGGGUGAUCACCACCAAGGGUUCUAGGUGCUCCUUAAUGGUCACACUAAGUGGCUCUUCUAUUUGAUGAUAUGAAGAGUUUACUUGUGAAUCUUCCCUCUCCUCAAGAGAAUUGCAAACUCUUAGAAGGCAAGGCAGGAAAGCGAACUCUAUUACAGUUCGUAUUCAAAUGGCCUGCUGCUGUCUAGUUUAAAUGACAGUGGUUCUUGUGGUCAAGUGUAUUCAUCGCAAAGAAAAGGGAUCAUCACAGUAUUUGAAAAAACAAACCUGGGAUCACAUUUAUAGAUUUUUGUUGUUGUUGUUAUGGAACUCUCAGAUGAGUUCAGAUUAAACCAAAGAGAGCACAUAACAUUUUAAUGCAAAAUAUUUUCCUAGUAUAUAUUGUGGACUUUUGAUCAAAGUAAGUACAAAAGGGAAUGGAUCACUGGAGCUUUAUUACUUAGACUUAGGGUUUUGUUUGUUUAUUUGUUUUUUAAAUAAAGAUUCCUCCCCUUAUCUGGUCUUUGAUUUACAUGUUUGUUAAAGUAACUCCUAAGGUGACAUCAGGUUCAAGUUAGGCACAUAUUUUAGUCUUCCUAAAAGUACCUUGGGCAGUAUUUAAGGAGAACUCAUUUCUGCAUGUACCAUAACAUCCAAAAACAGGACAAAACAAAAACAAAGAGGAGUAGCCAUGAGCACAAUGGAUGGUAGGAAAGUGGCACAUUUUAGUUUCAGAAAAACUUCCACAUUCUCUAUGUAUUAUUAUUAUGUAAGCCAAAAUCAAAUUUUUUACUUGCAAUCAUAUUUUUUAUUUUAAAUUCAAGAUAUAUUACUACAUAAUGACCAAAUUUUAAAUUAUGUUAUCUGCUUCUAAUUAAGAUUUUUAAAGUUAGGCAUUCUCUCUAUUUUCUUAUUGACUUUGGGCCAGCUCUGGCAAGUGACUCACUAGUGUGGUUUCAAAAUGAAAUAAUUUAUCACUUUCUGAGAAGGACUGGAAAAUCUGGUAUAUAAUGAUAGGUGAACUUGUUUAAAUUCUUAGUAUCUAAAUUUUUCCUUUCUAUAGUUAUUUACUCAUAGUUUGCAGGAAUUCAUAUUUGUGGGAGUUCUGAGAUUUUUAAGUGGUCAUUUAUCUGAGAUAUUUUUUGUUCAUAUUAAAUAGGAAUCUAUUGACUCUUGGCAUCAGCUGUGCAAUUAAUCAGUAUAUUUAUCUGCUUGGAAGACUACACUGAGUUAGUAAUAACAUAUUCAGAAUUUUGCCAGGCCCCAAAAGUUUUAAUGAGUAUAUUAAUAGCAAAACAUCUAUUGAAUGGAAAGCAACUUUAUUUUCACAGAGAAGCCAAACCAACACAGAAACUUAAAGAUAAAGACCAGUAUGAUAGCUAACAUAGUACUUUUGGUCUUUGUUACAUGUACAGUCCAUUGACUACCAGGCCUGUAUCUCACGUCUUAGAAAUACCUUCAAGUCCAAUUUUGAUAGGCAAUUACCACACAUUAAAUGUUUGCAUUCCCCCCAAAUUCAUAUUUUGAAAUCCUAACCCCAAAAAAUUGGGAAGUGGAGGCUUUGGGAGGCUUUACCUUCAUGAAUAAGAUUAGUGCCCUUAUAAAAAUGCUGUGGGGAGCUCUCUCUCCCCUUUGACGAUGUGAGGACACAGUGACAAGACAGCCACAUAUGCACUAGGAUGUGGGUCCUCACCUGACACCAGAUAUACUGGUGGCCCUGAUCUUGGAAUUCCCAGCCUCCAGAACUGUGAGAAAUAAAUGUUCAUCAUUUAAGCCACCCAGUAUAUGGUAUUUUCUUGGUAGAAUCAACCUUAUUACAUAACGUGGCAAAAAUAGUCACUAGCUUACUUUAUUACUGACAUGCAUGGCCCAAAUAUGUUUAACUAUAGUAAAAUCUUGGAUUGCGAGGAACUUGUUCUGCGAGUGUUCUGCAAGAUGAGCAAACAUUUAUAAUAAAUUCUAACUUGAUAAAUGAGCAAUGUCUUGUUAUGCAAAUAAUACACGAUGCCAAACAUCAUGUGAUCACAACUGAGCCAAUCGUUCUUGAAAUUAGCUUCGAUAUAUGAGUGCUUUGGACUACAAGCAUGUUUCAGGAACAAAUUAUGCUCACAAACCAAGGUUUUACUGUAUUUUUAAAAGAUGACAUACAUUGGGGUUUUUAUUUUUGU